rnacentral:rRNA from 1 species
AACGAACGCUGGCGGCAGGCCUAACACAUGCAAGUCGAACGCUCGUAGCAAUACGAGAGUGGCAGACGGGUGAGUAACACGUGGGAACCUUCCCUAUGGUUCGGAAUAGCUCAGGGAAACUUGAGGUAAUACCGGAUAAGCCCUUACGGGGAAAGAUUUAUCGCCAUUGGAUGGGCCCGCGUCGGAUUAGCUAGUUGGCGAGGUAACGGCUCACCAAGGCGGCGAUCCGUAGCUGGCUGAGAGGAUGAUCAGCCACACUGGGACUGAGACACGGCCCAGACUCCUACGGGAGGCAGCAGUGGGGAAUAUUGGACAAUGGGCGCAAGCCUGAUCCAGCCAUGCCGCGUGAGUGACGAAGGCCUUAGGUUGUAAAGCUCUUUUGGCGGGGAAGAUAAUGACGGUACCCGCAGAAUAAGCUCCGGCUAACUUCGUGCCAGCAGCCGCAGU